UACGUAGGCAGCGAGCGUUGUUCGGAGUUACUGGGCGUAAAGGGUGUGUAGGCGGUUCUUUUAAGUUUGGUGUGAAAUCUCCCGGCUCAACCGGGAGGGUGCGCCGAAUACUGAGGGACUAGAGUGCGGGAGAGGAAAGUGGAAUUCCUGGUGUAGCGGUGAAAUGCGUAGAUAUCAGGAGGAACACCGGUGGUGUAGACGGCUUUCUGGACCGUAACUGACGCUGAGACACGAAAGCGUGGGGAGCGAACAGG
rnacentral:rRNA from 1 species